UCAGGACGAACGCUGGCGGCGUGCUUAACACAUGCAAGUCGAACGAUGAACCUGGAGCUUGCUCUAGGGGAUUAGUGGCGAACGGGUGAGUAACACGUGAGUAACCUGCCCUUGACUCUGGGAUAACCUCCGGAAACGGAAGCUAAUACCGGAUACGACGUACGGAGGCAUCUCCUGUACGUGGAAAGAACUUCGGUCAAGGAUGGACUCGCGGCCUAUCAGGUAGUUGGUGAGGUAACGGCUCACCAAGCCUACGACGGGUAGCCGGCCUGAGAGGGUGACCGGCCACACUGGGACUGAGACACGGCCCAGACUCCUACGGGAGGCAGCAGUGGGGAAUAUUGCACAAUGGGCGCAAGCCUGAUGCAGCAACGCCGCGUGAGGGAUGACGGCCUUCGGGUUGUAAACCUCUUUUAGUAGGGAAGAAGCGAAAGUGACGGUAC
rnacentral:rRNA from 1 species